UACGUAGGGGGCUAGCGUUGUCCGGAAUCAUUGGGCGUAAAGCGCGUGUAGGCGGUCCGGUAAGUCCGCUGUGAAAGUCGGGGGCUCAACCCUCGGAUGCCGGUGGAUACUGUCGGGCUUGAGUACGGAAGAGGCGAGUGGAAUUCCCGGUGUAGCGGUGAAAUGCGCAGAUAUCGGGAGGAACACCCGUAGCGAAGGCGGCACUCUGGGCCGGAACUGACGCUGAGGAGCGAAAGCGUGGGGAGCAAACAGG
rnacentral:rRNA from 1 species